GGAGUUAGCCGGUGCUUCUUCUGUGAGUGAUGUCCUUCUUGCCGGUUAUUGACCCGCAGGCCUUCUUCCUCACUGAAAGUGCUUUACAACCCGAAGGCCUUCUUCACACACGCGGCAUGGCUGGAUCAGGGUUGCCCCCAUUGUCCAAUAUUCCCCACUGCUGCCUCCCGUAGGAGUCUGGGCCGUGUCUCAGUCCCAGUGUGGCUGAUCAUCCUCUCAGACCAGCUACGGAUCGUCGCCUUGGUGAGCCGUUACCUCACCAACCAGCUAAUCCGACAUAGGCUCAUCCGAUAGCGCGAGGCCCGAAGGUCCCCCGCUUUCCCCCGUAGGGCGUAUGCGGUAUUAGCCUGGGGUUUCCCCAGGUUAUCCCCCACUACCGGGCAGAUUCCUAUGCAUUACUCACCCGUCCGCCGCUCGCCACCAGGGAGCAAGCUCCCCGUGCUGCCGCUCGACUUGCAUGUGUUAGGCCUGCCGCCAGCGUUCAAUCUGAGCCAUGAUCAAACUCUGA
rnacentral:rRNA from 1 species